GGAUGUGAGGGCGAUCUGGCUGCGACAUCUGUCACCCCAUUGAUCACCAGGGUUGAUUCGGCUGAUCUGGCUGGCUAGGCGGGUGUCCCCAUCCUCCCUCGCCGCUCCAUGUGCGUCCCUCCCGAAGCUGCGCGCUCGGUCGAAGAGGACGACCAUCCCCGAUAGAGGAGAGGACCGUUCUUCGAUCAAGGGUAUACGAGUAGCUGCGCUCCCCUGCUAGAACCUCCAAACAAGCUCUCAAGGUCCAGUUGCUAAACACUUGAGAACAUACUCUUACAACUUUUAACAACAGAACAUAGUUUGACCAUAAAUGAAAUCAUCUUGU
rnacentral:snRNA from 1 species